CGCCUUGCCAGCCCGCUCAGAAACUUAAAUGAAGUUCGACGGGGGCCCGGCACAAGCGGUGGAGUAUGUGGUUUAAUUCGAUGCAACGCGAAGAACUUACCUGGUCUUGACAUCCCGGAGACCCUUAGGAAACUAGGGGUGCUUCCAUCUGGAAGAAUCUGGAGACAGGUGCUGCAUGGCUGUCGUCAGCUCGUGUCGUGAGAUGUUGGGUUAAGUCCCGCAACGAGCGCAACCCUUGCCUUUAGUUGCCAGCAGUUCGGCUGGGCACUCUAAAGGGACUGCCGGUGUUAAACCGAAGGAAGGUGGGGAUGACGUCAAGUCCUCAUGGCCUUUAUGACCAGGGCUACACACGUACUACAAUGGCCGAUACAAAGGGCAGCGACACUGCGAGGUGAAGCCAAUCCCGUAAAAUCGGUCUCAGUCCGGAUUGGAGUCUGCAACUCGACUCCAUGAAGUUGGAAUCGCUAGUAAUCGUGGAUCAGCAUGCCACGGUGAAUACGUUCCCGGGCCUU
rnacentral:rRNA from 1 species